GUUAUAUGGUCAAGUGAAUAAGCGCACAUGGUGGAUGCCUUGGCGAUAAGAGGCGAUGAAGGACGUAGUAAUCUGCGAAAAGCGUAGGGGAGCUGAUAAACGAGCUUUGAGCCUGCGAUCUCCGAAUGGGGCAACCCACAUACCCUUGGGUAUGUAUCAUUAAGUGAAUACAUAGCUUAAUGAAGCGAACCCGGCGAACUGAAACAUCUAAGUAGCCGGAGGAAAAGAAAUCAACCGAGAUUUCCCUAGUAGCGGCGAGCGAACGGGAAACAGCCUGCAAGUAAUAUUUAACGUUUUAGUGGAACGAGCUGGAAAGCUUGGCGAUACAGGGUGAUAGCCCCGUACACGAAAAGGCGUUAAAGGUACUAAGCUUGCGACAAGUAGGGCGGGGCACGAGAAACCUUGUCUGAACAUGGGGGGACCAUCCUCCAAGGCUAAAUACUCCUUAUCGACCGAUAGUGAACUAGUACCGUGAGGGAAAGGCGAAAAGAACCCCGUUUAGGGGAGUGAAAUAGAACCUGAAACCGUGUGCGUACAAGCAGUAGGAGCAGACUUGUUCUGUGACUGCGUACCUUUUGUAUAAUGGGUCAGCGACUUAAUUUAUGUAGCGAGCUUAACCGAAUAGGGGAGGCGAAGGGAAACCGAGUCUUAAUAGGGCGACUAGUUGCAUGGAUUAGACCCGAAACCUGGCGAUCUAUCCAUGGUCAGGCUGAAGGUUGGGUAACACUAACUGGAGGGCCGAACCCACGUAUGUUGAAAAAUGCGGGGAUGAACUGUGGAUCGGAGUGAAAGGCUAAUCAAGCCAGGAGAUAGCUGGUUCUCCUCGAAAGCUAUUUAGGUAGCGCCUCAUGACUCACUCUUGGGGGUAGAGCACUGUUUGGGCUAGGGGGUCAUCCCGACUUACCAACCCCAUGCAAACUCCGAAUACCGAGAAGUGCAAUCAUGGGAGACACACGGCGGGUGAUAACGUCCGUCGUGGAAAGGGAAACAACCCAGACCAUCAGCUAAGGUCCCAAAAUUAUGGCUCAGUGGAAAACGAGGUGGGAAGGCACAGACAGCUAGGAGGUUGGCUUAGAAGCAGCCACCCUUUAAAGAAAGCGUAAUAGCUCACUAGUCGAGUCGGCCUGCGCGGAAGAUGUACCGGGGCUUAAGCCAUAUACCGAAGCUAUGGAUGCCGUGCAUCUUUAAACUGAUUUACGCUUGUCGCUGAAAGCGACCAAGCCCUCCCGAACGUUAAGUUGGUAGGGGUGGAGAAAGCGCUAAAACGAGUUGGUUUAAAGAUGCACGGCAUGGUAGAGGAGCGUUGUGUAAGUCUGUGAAGGUGAGUUGAGAAGCUUGCUGGAGAUAUCACAAGUGCGAAUGCUGACAUGAGUAACGAUAAAGGGGGUGAGAGGCCCCCUCGCCGAAAAUCCAAGGUUUCCUGCUCAACGCUAAUCGGAGCAGGGUGAGUCGGUCCCUAAGGCGAGGCAGAAAUGCGUAGUCGAUGGAAAACAGGUUAAUAUUCCUGUACCGGUUGUUACUGCGAUGGGAUGACGGAGAAGGUUAGGUUAGCCAACUGUUGGAUAUGUUGGUUUAAGUGUGUAGGCGUGUGCUAUAGGAAAAUCCGUAGCGCUAAGCUGAGGCAUGAUGACGAGUCUCAAUGGAGACGAAGUAACUGAUACCAGGCUUCCAGGAAAAGUCUCUAAGCUUCAGGUAACAAACGACCGUACCCCAAACCGACACAGGUGGAUGGGAUGAGAAUUCUAAGGCGCUUGAGAGAACUCGGGUGAAGGAACUAGGCAAAAUAGCACCGUAACUUCGGGAGAAGGUGUGCCCUUGUUAGGUGAAGCGACUUGCUCGUGGAGCUGAAGAGGGUUGCAGUGAACUGGUGGCUGCGACUGUUUAUUAAAAACACAGCACUCUGCAAACACGAAAGUGGACGUAUAGGGUGUGACGCCUGCCCGGUGCCGGAAGGUUAAUUGAUGGGGUUAUUCUUCGGAAGAAGCUCUUGAUCGAAGCCCCGGUAAACGGCGGCCGUAACUAUAACGGUCCUAAGGUAGCGAAAUUCCUUGUCGGGUAAGUUCCGACCUGCACGAAUGGCGUAACGAUGGCCACACUGUCUCCACCCGAGACUCAGUGAAAUUGAAAUUGCGGUUAAGAUGCCGUAUACCCGCGGCUAGACGGAAAGACCCCGUGAACCUUUACUACAGCUUUGCACUGAACUUUGAACCUACUUGUGUAGGAUAGCUGGGAGGCAUCGAAGCGUGAACGCCAGUUUGCGUGGAGCCAACCUUGAAAUACCAGCCUGGUAUGUUUGGAGUUCUAACCUCGUUCCCUUAUCGGGAAUAGGGACAGUGUAUGGUGGGUAGUUUGACUGGGGCGGUCUCCUCCCAAAGAGUAACGGAGGAGCACGAAGGUACACUAAGUAUGGUCGGACAUCAUACGGUUAGUGCAAUGGCAAAAGUGUGCUUGACUGCGAGACAGACACGUCGAGCAGGUACGAAAGUAGGUCAUAGUGAUCCGGUGGUUCUGAAUGGAAGGGCCAUCGCUCAACGGAUAAAAGGUACUCCGGGGAUAACAGGCUGAUACCGCCCAAGAGUUCACAUCGACGGCGGUGUUUGGCACCUCGAUGUCGGCUCAUCACAUCCUGGGGCUGUAGCCGGUCCCAAGGGUAUGGCUGUUCGCCAUUUAAAGUGGUACGCGAGCUGGGUUUAGAACGUCGUGAGACAGUUCGGUCCCUAUCUGCCGUGGGCGUUGGAAAUUUGAGAGGAGCUGCUCCUAGUACGAGAGGACCGGAGUGGACGUACCCCUGGUGUUCGGGUUGUCAUGCCAAUGGCAUUGCCCGGUAGCUAUGUACGGACGGGAUAACCGCUGAAAGCAUCUAAGCGGGAAGCCCCCCUCAAGAUUAGAUUUCCCUGGACUUUAAGUCCCUGAAGGGCCGUAGAAGACCACUACGUUGAUAGGUUGGGUGUGGAAGUGCAGUAAUGUAUGAAGCUAACCAAUACUAAUUGCCCGUGAGGCUUGACCAUAUAACCCCAAGUAAGUUGGG
rnacentral:rRNA from 1 species